CAAUAGCGUAUAUUAAAGUUGUUGCAGUUAAAAAGCUCGUAGUUGGAUUUGUGGCGUACGGUGUGUUCCGGGCACUUGUUGUCUGAGUAACCUGCUGUUGCCAUCCUUGGGUGGAACCUGUGUGGCAUUAGGUUGUCGUGCAGGGGAUGCCCAUCAUUUACUGUGAAAAAAUUAGAGUGUUCAAAGCAGGCUUAUGCCGUUGAAUAUAUUAGCAUGGAAUAUUGAGAUAGGACUUUUUUGCUAUUUUGUUGGUUUGCGCAAAGAGGUAAUGAUUAAUAGGGACAGUUGGGGGUAUUCGUAUUCCAUUGUCAGAGGUGAAAUUCUUGGAUUUUUGGAAGACGAACUACUGCGAAAGCAUUUACCAAGGAUGUUUUCAUUAA
rnacentral:rRNA from 1 species